CANUGGGGGGACCCUGAUGCAGCGACGCCGCGUGGAGGAAGAAGGUCUUCGGAUUGUAAACUCCUGUUGUUGAGGAAGAUAAUGACGGUACUCAACAAGGAAGUGACGGCUAACUACGUGCCAGCAGCCGCGGUAAAACGUAGGUCACAAGCGUUGUCCGGAAUUACUGGGUGUAAAGGGAGCGCAGGCGGGAAGACAAGUUGGAAGUGAAAACCAUGGGCUCAACCCAUGAAUUGCUUUCAAAACUGUUUUUCUUGAGUAGUGCAGAGGUAGAUGGAAUUCCCGGUGUAGCGGUGGAAUGCGUAGAUAUCGGGAGGAACACCAGUGGCGAAGGCGGUCUACUGGGCACCAACUGACGCUGAGGCUCGAAAGCAUGGGUAGCAAACAGGAUUAGAUACCCUGGUAGUCCAAGGGCGAAUUC
rnacentral:rRNA from 1 species